rnacentral:rRNA from 1 species
UUUAUUUAACUUAUUAUAUUUACUUUUUGUUAUUUUAAUUAUUUAUUAGAAAAAAUUUUAUUGUAUUU